GAACGCUGGCGGCGUGCCUAAUACAUGCAAGUCGAGCGAGCGGAACUAACAGAUUUACUUCGGUAAUGACGUUAGGAAAGCGAGCGGCGGAUGGGUGAGUAACACGUGGGGAACCUGCCCCAUAGUCUGGGAUACCACUUGGAAACAGGUGCUAAUACCGGAUAAGAAAGCAGAUCGCAUGAUCAGCUUUUAAAAGGCGGCGUAAGCUGUCGCUAUGGGAUGGCCCCGCGGUGCAUUAGCUAGUUGGUAAGGUAAAGGCUUACCAAGGCGAUGAUGCAUAGCCGAGUUGAGAGACUGAUCGGCCACAUUGGGACCGAGACACGGCCCAAACUCCUACGGGAGGCAGCAGUAGGGAAUCUUCCACAAUGGACGCAAGUCUGAUGGAGCAACGCCGCGUGAGUGAAGAAGGUUUUCGGAUCGUAAAGCUCUGUUGUUGGUGAAGAAGGAUAGAGGUAGUAACUGGCCUUUAUUUGACGGUAAUCAACCAGAAAGUCACGGCUAACUACGUGCCAGCAGCCGCGGUAAUACGUAGGUGGCAAGCGUUGUCCGGAUUUACUGGGCGUAAAGCGAGCGCAGGCGGAAGAAUAAGUCUGAUGUGAAAGCCCUCGGCUUAACCGAGGAACUGCAUCGGAAACUGUUUUUCUUGAGUGCAGAAGAGGAGAGUGGAACUCCAUGUGUAGCGGUGGAAUGCGUAGAUAUAUGGAAGAACACCAGUGGCGAAGGCGGCUCUCUGGUCUGCAACUGACGCUGAGGCUCGAAAGCAUGGGUAGCGAACAGGAUUAGAUACCCUGGUAGUCCAUGCCGUAAACGAUGAGUGCUAAGUGUUGGGAGGUUUCCGCCUCUCAGUGCUGCAGCUAACGCAUUAAGCACUCCGCCUGGGGAGUACGACCGCAAGGUUGAAACUCAAAGGAAUUGACGGGGGCCCGCACAAGCGGUGGAGCAUGUGGUUUAAUUCGAAGCAACGCGAAGAACCUUACCAGGUCUUGACAUCUAGUGUCAUUUGUAGAGAUACAAAGUUCCCUUCGGGGACGCUAAGACAGGUGGUGCAUGGCUGUCGUCAGCUCGUGUCGUGAGAUGUUGGGUUAAGUCCCGCAACGAGCGCAACCCUUGUUAUUAGUUGCCAGCAUUAAGUUGGGCACUCUAAUGAGACUGCCGGUGACAAACCGGAGGAAGGUGGGGAUGACGUCAAGUCAUCAUGCCCCUUAUGACCUGGGCUACACACGUGCUACAAUGGGCAGUACAACGAGAAGCGAGCCUGCGAAGGCAAGCGAAUCUCUGAAAGCUGUUCUCAGCUCGGACUGCAGACUGCAACUCGACUGCACGAAGCUGGAAUCGCUAGUAAUCGCGGAUCAGCACGCCGCGGUGAAUACGUUCCCGGGCCUUGUACACACCGCCCGUCACACCAUGGGAGUCUGCAAUGCCCAAAGCCGGUGGCCUAACCUUCGGGAAGGAGCCGUCUAAGGCAGGGCAGAUGACUGGGGUGAA
rnacentral:rRNA from 1 species